rnacentral:rRNA from 1 species
CAAUAGCGUAUAUUAAAGUUGUUGCAGUUAAAAAGCUCGUAGUUGGCUUUCUGGUAGGAGUGACCGUUCCGAACUUGAUUGUUCGUGUAUUGUGUUUUCUCCAGCCAUCCUUGUGGAGAACUUUUCUUGCAUUAAUUUGUAGGGAUUGGGACCCGCAUCGUUUACUGUGAAAAAAUUAGAGUGUUUAAAGCAGGCAAUCGCUUGAAUACAUUAGCAUGGAAUAAUAAGAUAGGACUUUGGUACUAUUUUGUUGGUUUGCAUACCAAAUUAAUGAUCAACAGGAACAGUUUGAGGAUAUUCGUAUGAACAUGUCAGAGGUGAAAUUCUUGGAUUUUGAUCAGACGAACUACUGCGAAAGCAUUUAUCAAGGAUGUUUUCAUUAA